rnacentral:rRNA from 1 species
UACGUAGGGGCCUAGCGUUGUUCGGAAUUACUGGGCGUAAAGCGUGUGUAGGUGGUUGCCAUAGUCAGGUGUGAAAGCCUUGAGCUCAACUCAAGAAAUGCACUUGAUACUGGGCAGCUAGAGGACCGGAGAGGAUAGUGGAAUUCCCAGUGUAGUGGUGAAAUACGUAGAGAUUGGGAAGAACACCAGUGGCGAAGGCGGCUAUCUGGACGGUUUCUGACACUAAGACACGAAAGCGUGGGGAGCAAACAGG